GAUGAAUGCUGGCGGCGUGCCUAAUACAUGCAAGUCGAGCGAACGGACGAGAAGCUUGCUUCUCUGAUGUUAGCGGCGGACGGGUGAGUAACACGUGGAUAACCUACCUAUAAGACUGGGAUAACUUCGGGAAACCGGAGCUAAUACCGGAUAAUAUUUUGAACCGCAUGGUUCAAAAGUAAAAGACGGUCUUGCUGUCACUUAUAGAUGGAUCCGCGCUGCAUUAGCUAGUUGGUAAGGUAACGGCUUACCAAGGCAACGAUGCAUAGCCGACCUGAGAGGGUGAUCGGCCACACUGGAACUGAGACACGGUCCAGACUCCUACGGGAGGCAGCAGUAGGGAAUCUUCCGCAAUGGGCGAAAGCCUGACGGAGCAACGCCGCGUGAGUGAUGAAGGUCUUCGGAUCGUAAAACUCUGUUAUUAGGGAAGAACAUAUGUGUAAGUAACUGUGCACAUCUUGACGGUACCUAAUCAGAAAGCCACGGCUAACUACGUG
rnacentral:rRNA from 1 species